rnacentral:ncRNA from 1 species
GGUCCGGGAGAGACCAGGUGUUUGGAAAUGGCGCCGAAGGGGAAUGCAAAAACUCUCAGGCAAAAGGGCC